rnacentral:rRNA from 1 species
GACGUAGGGCGCGAGCGUUGUCCGGAUUUAUUGGGCGUAAAGAGCUCGUAGGCGGCUUGUCGCGUCGUCCGUGAAAACCUGCAGCUCAACUGCAGGCUUGCGGUCGAUACGGGCAGGCUGGAGUUCGGUAGGGGAGACUGGAAUUCCUGGUGUAGCGGUGAAAUGCGUAGAUAUCUGGAGGAAUACCGGUGGCGAAGGCGGCAUCCUGGACCGGCAUUGACGCUGAGGAGCGAAAGCCAGGGGAGCAAACGGG